UACAGAGGGUGCGAGCGUUAAUCGGAAUUACUGGGCGUAAAGCGUGCGCAGGCGGUUUUGUAAGUCUGUCGUGAAAUCCCCGGGCUCAACCUGGGAAUUGCGAUGGAGACUGCAAGGCUAGAAUCUGGCAGAGGGGGGGUAGAAUUCCACGUGUAGCAGUGAAAUGCGUAGAGAUGUGGAGGAACACCGAUGGCGAAGGGCAGCCCCCUGGGUCAAGAUUGACGCUCAUGCACGAAAGGCGUGGGGAGCAAACGAGG
rnacentral:rRNA from 1 species